rnacentral:rRNA from 1 species
GUGAGGAAUAUUGGACAAUGGAUGGAAAUCUGAUCCAGCCAUGCCGCGUGCAGGAAGACGGCCCUAUGGGUUGUAAACUGCUUUUAUACGGGAGCAAUAAGGUCUAUGCAUAGAUUGAUGAGAGUACCGUAUGAAUAAGCAUCGGCUAACUCCGUGCCAGCAGCCGCGGUAAUACGGAGGAUGCGAGCGUUAUCCGGAUUUAUUGGGUUUAAAGGGUGCGUAGGCGGCUUUGUAAGUCAGCGGUGAAAUUUUGCAGCUUAACUGUAAAAGCGCCGUUGAUACUGUGAAGCUAGGAUUUGGUUGCUGUGGGCGGAAUGUGUGGUGUAGCGGUGAAAUGCAUAGAGAUCACACAGAAUAUCGAUUGCGAAGGCAGCUCACAAAGCCAAUAUUGACGCUGAGGCACGAAAGUGUGGGGAUCAAACAGGAUUAGAUACCCCAGUAGUCC